rnacentral:rRNA from 1 species
UACGUAGGGCGCAAGCGUUAUUCGGAAUUACUGGGCGUAAAGAGCUCGUAGGCGGUUUGUCGCGUCUGCCGUGAAAGUCCGGGGCUCAACUCCGGAUCUGCGGUGGGUACGGGCAGACUAGAGUGAUGUAGGGGAGACUGGAAUUCCUGGUGUAGCGGUGAAAUGCGCAGAUAUCAGGAGGAACACCGAUGGCGAAGGCAGGUCUCUGGGUCGACACUGACGCUCAUGCACGAAAGCGUGGGGAGCAAACAGG